ACAAAGAGCUAUGGUAAAGUGAAGUUUCAUUGCCCAGAGCUAAAGAAAGCAUCCUCUCAGAUGGCAGAUACAGAUACAGAUACAGGGUUGAAUCUUCUGGUGGAGAACCUCUUGGAUUCAGUAAGAGAAAAAGCGAAGUUUAUUGCAGACAAUUCGAAGCUGCAGAUUUAUGAUUUAGAGGAUGACUUUUUACAUCUUGAGGAACAAGUUCAACGCCUACGAGCGCUCCUAAAUAUUGCUGCACAAUGGCAGAUAAAUACUAGCAGUAAGUGGAAACAGUUGGUCAAUAAGGACAUUCGAAUUACGGUACAUAGAGCUGAGGAUGUAAUUGAUGGCUUGGCUCUUAUGUUUCAGCUUUACCUUGAUAAAAAACAGGGACUUAUCGUAUUUGAUAGUAUAAGAGGAGACUCAGUCAGGAUUAUAAGAAGAGACUCAGUCAGUAAUCUUGCAACUAAGAUCGACGGCCUCAACGAGAAGGUGAAGGAAUUUCUUCAAAACAAUCAACCAGCUGUUCAGCCGGAAAAAAAUUCCCAGGAUCUUCCGCUCAAGGAAAACGAAGUCGUUGGCUUAAAAGAAGAAGCAGAAAAAGUGAUCAAGCGACUUGUUGACAGAUCUGAGGAUCUCAAUGUUGUCCCUGUUGUAGGUAUGCAUGGACUUGGUAAAACAACAUUGGCAAUAAAAGUUUUUAACGAUCCCCAGAUUUUAAAUCAAUUUGACAGCAGAAUAUGGGUUUAUGUCGGCCAAUCAUAUGAAAUAAAGGAUAUCUUUAUCAAUAUCCUCACAUGUUUCACAGAUCGCAUUGAAGAAUACCAAGACAAAGACGUGAAUGAAAUAGCUAAGGUAAUAUGUGAUUUUGUGCCUAAAGAAGGUAAAUGUCUCAUUGUCUUGGACGAUGUCUGGGCAAUAGGUGUUGUCGAUUUUGUCAAGAAAACUUUCCCUGAAAACAGCAAAGGACACCGGAUCAUGAUGACCACUCAUAGGCAAGAUGUGGCUAGUUGUGCCAAUCCAAAUCCUCAUGAUCUAAAAUUUCUGACCCAGACGGAAAGUUUUCUAUUGUUGAAAAGCAGAGUUUUCGGUAGUGGAUGUUUUCCUGAAGAAUUAACAGAACUUGGAGAAAGCAUUGCACAAAAAUGUUGUGGGGUACCACUUGCAAUAAUAGUAAUUGCAGGAGCUUUAAGAGGUCGUAAGGACAAAAAUAAUUGGCUCAAAGUUCAGAAAUAUUUUUGGCAGCACCUUAUUAUUAAAGAUGACCCUACAAGAUGCUGGAAGUUUGUUGAAAUGAGCUACAAUUGUUUGCCCCAAGAAAUGAAGGAGUGCUUCUUGUAUUGCGGAAUUUUUCCUCGAGGCUUUGAUAUCCCUGCUUGGAAAUUGAUCCGUCUCUGGAUUGCGGAGGGAUUGAUAAAAUCCAGCCCAGGUUACGCCUUGGAGGAGGUAGCGGAAAAUAAUUUGAACGAGCUCGUCAAUAGAAAUUUAGUGAUUGUGGUACAGAAGAAGUUUGACAGUCGAAUAAAAACAUGUCGUCUUCAUGACAUGGUACAAGAGUUUUGCAAGAUGGAGGCUACUAGAGAAUGUCUUUUUCAUGAAGUAUCUCUAACACCCGAUCAAGCAAUUCCAGAUGAUUCUCGUCGAUUGUGUAUCCGAUCACGUUUUCUAGGUGAUUUUCUGUCCAGAAAACCAUACGCGGAACAUGUCAGGUCUUUCUUAUGCUUUUCCCCAACCCAGUUGUCUCCGUAUCUAGUGACACUCCUGCACAAAGCGUUUGCACUCAUAAGGGUUUUGGAUGUUGAGCCCACCAAUUUUAUUUUUUCCAGAUAUUUUAAUGUGCUUUAUCAUUUGAAGUAUAUGGCUUUCUCAGGUGACUUUACGGCCAUUCCCCCGCCAUUUUGUAGAUUUCUGAAUUUACAAACUCUUAUAUUUAAUACGACUAGUAAAAGGAAGCGCUACUUGGAAACAAGAUGGGAAAUAUGGAACAUGUUACGGUUGAGGCAUCUGCACAGUAACAUUCCUGUACGAUUGCCAAGACCUAAAACCCCAAAAGGUGAAAUUUCUUGCCUGCGAACUCUUUCUAUGGUUGCACCAGAAAGUUGCAACAGUUGUGUGCUUGCAAAAGUUGGUAAUCUCAAAAAAUUGAGUAUUAAAGGGAAUAUGGCCCCUUUUCUUGAAAUUAACAAGGAUGGAUUCAGCAAUCAUGGAGAGUUGAAGUGCCUGGAAAAUUUGAAACUAUUGAAUGAUGUCUUUACAAUGAUUUCAGUGCUUCACCUUCCUCCAAAUUUCUUCAGAUUUGCUCGUACACUAAAGAAGUUAACUUUAUCGGACACAAGGUUUGAUUGGCGUGAGGCAAUUGGACUGGAGCAGCUGGAAUGCCUUGAGGUUCUAAAGUUGAAAGACGCUUUCACCGGAAAGUCAUGGAAGCUAGAGGUAGGUUUUAGCGAACUCCAAGCCUUGUCGAUUGAUACAACAGAUUUUGAAACAUGGGAGGCUUCAACUCAUCAUUUCCCAAGACUUAGGCACCUUGUUCUUAUUUACUGUGAUAAACUUGAGGCUGUUCCGGCUACGUUUGCUGAUAUACCUAGCCUUCGAGAGAUGAGGCUUGAAAACACAAGCAAAGCGGUCAGAUCUGCAAAAGAAAUAGAAAGAAAGAAACAAGAGAUGCAAUUUCUGAACAACAUUGAAUUCAAGCUUACUAUAUCUUUCGAUGUUGAUUACAAUGAAGUUGAAGACUUGUGCGGUAUUGUUAGUCCCAACAUUGUCAUAAUAACCAUUCAGUUCUUUCCAUGUAUGUUAGCCAACUCCAGUUCUAACUUUAGUUGACUUUUAUGGUUACCAGCUGGAGUACUGUGAUUAAUUUAGUCAUUUAACAGCCUCUUGCAAAAAUGCAGGGUAAAACUGCGUACGAUAGACCUUUGUGGUCCGGCCUUUCCCCGGACCCUGCGCAUAGCAGAAGCUUAGGGCACCGGGCUGCCCUUUUUAUUGCCACACCCAAAAAGAUUCCAAAGAAACCUAACUGCAACAUUGUUUCUUUCUAGAUUUCACUAAUUUUCUUCUAUUUGUUUUCUCCUUUUUGCAGGAGGGAAUCAGAGGAAUGACACUUAUGCGAGCCUGUGAUCAUAGACAAGUCGAAUGCUCUUUCAUAUGGAGUCAGCCGCAUUUCAUGUUUUCUGCAGGCUAUUCGUCCUAACAGUCUGUUCCAAUAAAAAUCCCGUUUACGUUUUAUUGUAUGAGCUCCACUUUCUGCUUUUAACACCUUUUCUAGGUUUCAAAACUUUUCAAGUUCUCAAUUAUGUGAAAUUGUUUUCUUUUUGAAUGGUUAACACAGCUCUGUCCAUCUAGUUUGUUGUGAUGUAUUUAUUUGCUUUACUGUUGUUUUCUCUGCUUAAGCAUGGGUACCACCGUACCAACCUGAAAGACAUGUUCCUUGAACCAGAUAAAGGAGCUAUGAAUUUUAUUUGGCAUGUGUAAUAUCAGAGAUGAAUUGUGGUUAUCUUCAAAUUUAUUAUUACUACUUCAUUUGCUUCCCUAUAGGUCUAAAUUGGUUGAAGAUGGAUGAACAAUGUACAGAUGGGAAGGCAAUGUUGAGAAGUGGAAACAAGAAGGGGCAAAUUUGGAAUGGUGUUGGUGCUACAACAUUUGUUUGAUUGUGUUUGUAUUGUUUAGCAAUGUAAUUGUUACAUUAAAAAAAAUUGUUUGUUGAAUAAUGAUACUAAUAAUUGUUCAAUUAGUAUUAUUAUACGUAGACCUCC